UACGGGGGGGGGCAAGCGUUGUUCGGAAUUACUGGGCGUAAAGGGCUCGUAGGCGGCCAACUAAGUCAGACGUGAAAUCCCUCGGCUUAACCGGGGAACUGCGUCUGAUACUGGAUGGCUUGAGUUUGGGAGAGGGAUGCGGAAUUCCAGGUGUAGCGGUGAAAUGCGUAGAUAUCUGGAGGAACACCGGUGGCGAAGGCGGCAUCCUGGACCAACACUGACGCUGAGUGAGCGAAAGCCAGGGGAGCAAACAGG
rnacentral:rRNA from 1 species